rnacentral:tRNA from 1 species
GCUUAAGUGUUUGAUUUCAAAUGUUAUUAGCGCUGACUCUUAAUCAAUAGGUCCAAGGUUCGAAUCCUUGACGGCCCA